AAUCAGUUUAACAUAGCGUUAAUCUUAAUACCAAUGAAUUGAUUACAACACCUGUAAUUGAAAACGAAAAGAUAAGAACAUAUCAGUAGCUACUUAGCAGCCAGUCAAAUACGUGGUUGGGAAAUUCUAUUGAAAUUUUUACCCAAAAAAAAAACAUUUUCUUCAAAUGAAUCUGAUAAUACUGAUGACAGCAGGGCUCGUCCUUACCCAACUGUGGUGUGGCAGCGCAUCAAGUGAAAGUAUCUCCCAACUUAUGCAAUAUGCACCGACUCAACUGAAUCAAAUUAAAACUACAUUUGCUACGAUAAUGGAAAAUGCAGCGCUACAGCAGAAAAAGUUUUCAAAAGAAUUGCGUCAAGAGACUUCCGUUUACAUGGAUGCGGAAUUGAAUAAAUGGAACACUGUCCCUGAUUCGGACGAAACAAAGAGCCGGAUAGCUAGUUGUGCAGAAGAAGUUGACGUCAUUAUUGAAGCGGCCAUCACACAAUUUAUCAAUAUUUUGGACACUGCUGAAAGACUAGUGUAUGGAGUUGAGGACAAAUUACGAAAUGAGCCUAGAAGUGAUGACACGGACGAAAUUAAUGAUGAAGUCGAUGACAUUUUUGACGAGUGCAAAGAGAAUUUUGAAGCCGUUAUAAUUCCACGUGUCAAUGACCUGCUGGGUCAAUUGAAAAAUAAACUUGUUACUUUGCGGUCAGAUCUACAGGCCUGUAUCGAUGAAAAACUAAAAAUAAAUGGAUAACCUA